rnacentral:misc_RNA from 1 species
GGAAGUUCUUGUCAUAAGAUCAAUUCGAUCAUCUUCAGACAGCCUUUUCACUUUCCGGCUAUCAAUUUGCACACUUCCAAAUCUCUCUGUUGAACGAUGUAACACAGUGGUACUAUCAUCCAUUAUGCAUCUUGAAAUUACUUCACCAGUUACCUGGUCCACAGUUCUUAACACACCAUCGAUUCCACCAACUACCAAUGUCGAAGUGUCGUUCAUAAGGUGAUGCAUAGAAUAAAUAACAUUUGGAGAAACUCUUGUUUCCCAUACAGUUCUUGUCGUAUUCCUGAGGUCCCAACAAGACACAUUUCCAGCAGUUGAUCCAGCAAACACCAUAUAGGAAUUAGGGUUGAAACACAAAGUCUUGACCCCUGCAGAGUAGAUUGAUCCCAGCUGAACAACUCGCUGAUCAGAAGAAAGAUCUGAGAGUGAAAGGGAGCCGAGGGAAGAACCACUAACAAGCAAUUGGUCAUCAGUAAAAGCUAAGCAAGAAACAGGCCCCUGAUGCAUCUUUAUUAUUUGGGUACACUUUCUGCUGUAUAGGUCAAAUACACGAACCUUUCCAUCCUCACAUCCGAUCACAGCUUCGGGGUCUACAUAACGC